rnacentral:rRNA from 1 species
UACGAAGGGGGCUAGCGUUGCUCGGAAUCACUGGACGUAAAGGGUGCGUAGGCGGGUCUUUUAAGUCAGGGGUGAAAUCCUGGAGCUCAACUCCAGAACUGCCUUUGAUACUGAAGAUCUUGAGUUCGGGAGAGGUGAGUGGAACUGCGAGUGUAGAGGUGAAAUUCGUAGAUAUUCGCAAGAACACCAGUGGCGAAGGCGGCUCACUGGCCCGAUACUGACGCUGAGGCACGAAAGCGUGGGGAGCAAACAGG